rnacentral:rRNA from 1 species
UCAUUACAGGGUCUGACGACUGCCCAAACCAAACCGUGAACUAUUUUCUGCUCAAAAAUGCUUUGGCAGGCCGCUCGCUGGGGGAGCCCCGGACUGCCGAGAGGCGGUUGGCCUGCCGAAGGCAUGCAAAUUUAAACUCACUGAAUAACUUUCUGAGAAAAUAUCAUCUCCCUUCGGGAGUAAAAAUUAUCACAACUCAUAACAAUGGAUCUCUUGGCUCUGGCAUCGAUGAAGAACGCAGCGAAAUGCGAUAAUUAAUAUGAAUUGCAGAAUUCAGUGAAUCAUCGAGUUUUUGAACGCACAUUGCGCCCUUUGGUAUUCCGAAGGGCAUGUCCGACCGAGCGUCGCUUCGCCGCUCAAGUCUCUUCUGACUUGGUGUUGGGACCUGCCCGGGCCUCAGGCCCUGGGGCAGUCCCCAAAUGCAGUGGCGGCCCUCAGCGCGGCUCCUCCUUAGCGCAGUAGAGUAAUUGCACUACGCUUCGGGACGCCUGGGUGCCUGCCGUAAAACCGCAGACUUUUUCCCGAGUCGCACCUCUCUAGGUUGGCCUC